rnacentral:rRNA from 12 species
UGGGUAUAGGGGCGAAAGACUAAUCGAACCAUCUAGUAGCUGGUUCCCUCCGAAGUUUCCCCCAGGAUAGCUGGAGCUUGAUUCAGUUUCGUCAGGUAAAGCGAAUGAUUAGAGGUUCGGGGGAUGAAACAUCCUUCACCUAUUCUCAAACUUUAAAUAGGCGAGACGCGUAGGUUGCUUAAUUGAACCUGCGCAAUCAAUGUGAGCUCCAAGUGGGCCAUUUUUGGUAAGCAGAACUGGCGAUGCGGGAUGAACCGAUAGUUGAGUUAAGGUGCCAAACUACGCGCUAACCUAGAUCCCACAAAGGGUGUUGAUUCAUAUAGACAGCAGGACGGUGGUCAUGGAAGUCGAAAUCCGCUAAGGAGUGUGUAACAACUCACCUGCCGAAUGAACUAGCCCUGAAAAUGGAUGGCGCUUAAGCGUGUUACCUAUACCUCACCGUCAAUGUUAGAGCGAUGCGUUGACGAGUAGGCAGGCGUGGAGGUCCGUGAAGAAGCUUUCGGAGUGAUCCGGAGUAGAACGGCCUCUAGUGCAGAUCUUGGUGGUAGUAGCAAAUACUCAAAUGAGAACUUUGAGGACUGAAGUGGGGAAAGGUUCCGUGUGAACAGCAGUUGGACACGGGUUAGUCGAUCCUAAGCCAUAGGGAAACUCCGUUUCAAAGUGCGCUCUCGGGCGCCGCCUGGCGAAAGGGAAACCGGUUAAUAUUCCGGUACCUCGAUGUGGAUUAUCCGCGGCAACGCAACUGAAGGUGGAGACGUCGGCGGGGG